rnacentral:rRNA from 1 species
UGAACGCUGGCGGCAUGCUUAACACAUGCAAGUUGAACGGGUUUAAGUUUAUUAAACUUAAACAAGUAGCGGACGGGUGAGUAACGCGUAAGAACCUACCUUUAGGUAAGGAAUAACUAUUGGAAACGAUAGAUAAUACCUUAUAAGCUUAUAGUAAAAGAUAAAAUCGCCUAAGGAUGGGCUUGCGUCUGAUUAGCUUGUUGGUGAUUUAAAAGAUUCACCAAGGCAACGAUCAGUAGUUGGUCUAAGAGGAUGAUCAACCACACUGGGACUGGGACACGGCCCAGACCUCUACGGAGGGCAGCAGUGAGGAAUUUUCCGCAAUGGGCGAAAGCCUGACGGAGCAAUGCCGCGUGGAGGAUGAAAGCUUGUGAGUCGUAAACUCCUUUUCUUAGUGAAGAAAUAAGACGGUAUCUAAGGAAUAAGCAUCGGCUAACUCCGUGCCAGCAGCCGCGGUAAUACGGAGGAUGCAAGCGUUAUUCGGAAUUAUUGGGCGUAAAGCGUCUGUAGGUGGUUUUUUAAGUCUACUGUUAAAUAUUAAGGCUUAACCUUAAAAAAGCGGUAUGAAACUAAAAAACUUGAGUUUAGUAGAGGUAGAGGGAAUUCUCGGUGUAGUGGUGAAAUGCGUAGAGAUCGAGAAGAACACCGGUAGCGAAAGCGCUCUACUGGGCUAAAACUGACACUGAGAGACGAAAGCUAGGGGAGCAAAUAGGAUUAGAUACCCUAGUAGUCCUAGCUGUAAACGAUGGAUACUAAGUGUUGGCUAUAAAAGCUCAUGCUGUAGCUACCGCAUUAAGUAUCCCGCCUGGGAGUAUGCUCGCAAGAGUGAACUCAAAGGAAUUGACGGGGGCCGCACAAGCGGUGGAGCAUGUGGUUAAUUCGAUGCAACGCGAAAAACCUUACCAGGGUUUGACAUUUCAUUUACUAUACAGAAAUGAAUAGAUUUAUAAUGAAAACAGGUGGUGCAUGGCUGUCGUCAGCUCGUGUCGUGAGAUGUUGGGUUAAGUCCCGCAACGAGCGCAACCCUUAUUUUUAGUUCAUGCGUCUAGAAAAACUGCCAACGAUAAGUUGGAGGAAGGUGAGGAUGACGUCAAGUCAGCAUGCCCCUUACACCCUGGGCGACACACGUGCUACAAUGGUUAAGACAAUGGGAUGCUAUUUCGCGAGAAUGCGCAAAACUCAAAAACUUAAUCUCAGUUCGGAUUGCAGACUGCAACUCGUCUGCAUAAAGUUGGAAUCGCUAGUAAUCGCUGGUCAGCCAUACAGCGGUGAAUACGUUCUCGGGCCUUGUACACACCGCCCGUCACGUUAGGAAAGCUGGUCACACCCGAAGUCAUUACUUUAACCAAUAGGAAGAGGGUGCCGAAGGUGGGGCGAGUAAUUGGAACGA